GAUGAACGCUGGCGGUAUGCUUAACACAUGCAAGUCGAACGGACUCUUCGGAGUUAGUGGCGGACGGGUGAGUAACGCGUGAGAAUCUGGCUUUGGGUUCGGGACAACCACUGGAAACGGUGGCUAAUACCGGAUGUGCCGAGAGGUAAAAGAGAAAUUGCCUGAAGAUGAGCUCGCGUCUGAUUAGCUAGUUGGUGAGGUAAAGGCUCACCAAGGCAGCGAUCAGUAGCUGGUCUGAGAGGAUGACCAGCCACACUGGGACUGAGACACGGCCCAGACUCCUACGGGAGGCAGCAGGGGGGAAUUUUCCGAAAUGGGCGAAAGCCUGACGGAGCAAUAGCGCGUGAGGGAAGAAGGCUCUUGGGUUGUAAACCUCUUUUCUUAGGGGAGAACAAAGUGACGGUACCUAAGGAAUCAGCAUCGGCUAACUCCGUG
rnacentral:rRNA from 1 species